rnacentral:rRNA from 1 species
CCUACGGGGUGCAGCAGUGGGGGAUAUUGCACAAUGGGGGAAACCCUGAUGCAGCGACGCCGCGUGGGUGAAGAAGCGCCUCGGCGCGUACAGCCCUGUCAGCAGGGAAGAAAAUGACGGUACCUGAAGAAGAAGCCCCGGCUAACUACGUGCCAGCAGCCGCGGUAAUACGUAGGGGGCAAGCGUUAUCCGGAUUUACUGGGUGUAAAGGGGGCGCAGACGGCGAUGCAAGCCAGGAGUGAAAGCCCGGGGCCCAACCCCGGGACUGCUCUUGGAACUGCGUGGCUAGAGUGCAGGAGGGGCAGGCGGAAGUCCUGGUGUAGCGGUGAAAUGCGUAGAUAUCAGGAGGAACACCGGUGGCGAAGGCGGCCUGCUGGACUGCAACUGACGUUGAGGCCCGAAAGCGUGGGGAGCAAACAGGAUUAGAUACCCCAGUAGUC